CAAGGUGUAGCUUAUAUUAGUAAAGCAUUUCAUUUACACUGAAUUAAUGUUUGUGCAAAUCAGAUUAUCUUGA
rnacentral:tRNA from 1 species